UGGGGGAUAUUAGGCAAUGGGGGAAACCCUGACCUAGCGAUGCCGCGUGAGGGAAGAAGGUCUUCGGAUUGUAAACCUCUGUCUUCGGGGAAGAUUAUGACGGUACCCGAGGAGGAAGCUCCGGCUAACUACGUGCCAGCAGCCGCGGUAAUACGUAGGGAGCAAGCGUUAUCCGGAUUUAUUGGGUGUAAAGGGUGCGUAGGCGGGCGUUCAAGUUGAAUGUGAAAUCCACCGGCUUAACUGGUGGGCUGCGUUCAAAACUGAAUGUCUUGAGUAUGGUAGAGGCAAGCGGAAUUCCCAGUGUAGCGGUAAAAUGCGUAGAGAUUGGGAGGAACACCAGUGGCGAAGGCGGCUUGCUGGGCCAAAACUGACGCUGAGGCACGAAAGUGUGGGGAGCAAACAGG
rnacentral:rRNA from 2 species